rnacentral:rRNA from 1 species
CAUGCAAGUCGAACGGAAAUCUUUUAGAGAAAUCUUUUAGAUUUUAGUGGCGAACGGGUGAGUAACACGUAAGCAACCUGCCUUUAAGACGAGAAUAACAAUUGGAAACAGUUGCUAAGGCUGGAUAGGAAAUAAAAAGGCAUCUUUUUAUUUUUAAAAGACCUUCUUCGGAGGGUAUGCUUAAAGAGGGGCUUGCGUCACAUUAGUUAGUUGGUAGGGUAAUGGCCUACCAAGACGAUGAUGUGUAGCUGGACUGAGAGGUUGAACAGCCACAUUGGGACUGAGACACGGCCCAAACUCCUACGGGAGGCAGCAGUAGGGAAUUUUCGGCAAUGGAGGAAACUCUGACCGAGCAACGUGGAGAAACUAUCUUGACGUUAUUCAAUGAAUAAGCCCCGGCUAACUAUGUGCCAGCAGCCGCGGUAAUACAUAGGGGGCGAGCGUUAUCCGGAAUUAUUGGGCGUAAAGGGUGCGUAGGCGGUUUAAUUAGUCUCUAGUUUAAUUUCAACGCUUAACGUUGUCCUGCUAGAGAAACUGUUUGACUAGAGUGAGAUAGAGGUAAGCGGAAUUCCAUGUGUAGCGGUAAAAUGUGUAAAUAUAUGGAGGAACACCAGAGGCGUAGGCGGCUUACUGGGUCUUUACUGACGCUGAUGCACGAAAGCGUGGGGAGCAAACAGGAUUAGAUACCCUGGUAGUCCACGCCGUAAACUAUGAGUACUAAGUGUCGGGGUUAAACUCGGUACUGAAGUUAACACAUUAAGUACUCCGCCUGAGUAGUACGUACGCAAGUAUGAAACUUAAAGGAAUUGACGGGAUCCCGCACAAGCGGUGGAUCAUGUUGUUUAAUUCGAAGAUACACGAAAAACCUUACCAGGUCUUGACAUACUCUGCAAAACUAUAGAAAUAUAGUGGAGGUUAUCAGGGAUACAGGUGGUGCAUGGUUGUCGUCAGCUCGUGUCGUGAGAUGUUAGGUUAAGUUCUAAAACGAGCGCAACCCCUGUCGUUAAUUGCCAGCACGUUAUGGUGGGGACUUUAGCGAGACUGCCAAUGAAAAAUUGGAGGAAGGUGGGGAUUACGUCAAAUCAUCAUGCCCCUUAUGAUCUGGGCUACAAACGUGAUACAAUGGCUAUUACAAAGAGUAGCUUAAACGCGAGUUUUUGGCAAAUCUCAAAAAAAUAGUCUUAGUUCGGAUUGAAGUCUGCAACUCGACUUCAUGAAGUUGGAAUCGCUAGUAAUCGCGAAUCAGCAUGUCGCGGUGAAUACGUUCUCGGGGUUUGUACACACCGCCCGUCAAACCACGAAAGUGGACAAUACCCGAAAGCGAUAGCCUAACUGCGCAAGCAGAGGGAAUCGUCUAAGGUAGGGUCGAUGAUUGGGGUUAAGUCGUAACAAGGUAUCCCUACCGGAAGGUGGGGAUGGAUCACCUCCUUUCUA